rnacentral:lncRNA from 1 species
CAGAUUGAGUACAGAAGACAUGUAAGUAUGAAGUACGCUUCCUGGUGGGGGAGGGGGGAUGUGGUAAUAUUACAGAAGACAUGUGAGUAUAAAGUAUGCCUCCUGGUGGGGAGGGGGGUGUGGUAAUUUUACAGAUUGAGUGAUUGAGUACAGAAGACAUGUAAGUAUAAAGUACACCUCCCGGUGCGGGAGAUUCUUGCUGUAAUGAAUACCCAUUGGUGGACUUUGGCUGUUGUUUGCUCUUUGGUUGGGUUGUUGUCUCUUAGAAACAUUCCCCAUUUCCAAUCUCAAUUGUAUAAGAUAUCUAUUUUAAACUAAUUCCAUAUCACAAGGGUUGGCUGGGGUAUGGAAAUAUGGUCAUCUCUUUGAAUGCUUUAAGGGCAUACGAUACAGUUGCAGGAGAGUUAAUGACUUUGCUAACUUAAAUUGUUAUUAUCAGGAAAAGAUUCAGUUUUCGACAGAUUUUUAUCAUUCAAACUUAUUUUACUUGAAAACGGCUUCAUGGACCCCUCAUUUUUAAAAAUGACAUUUUGGUUUGAUCGUCCGAGAAGAUUAUUGUGUGCCAAUUUUCAUGAAAAUGUAAAUAGUGCAAUUUUUUAAAUUUGAUAAUAUACAGCAAAAUGAUGUUUUUUCUACAUUCAUGACAUUUGAUAAAUAGGUUUUUCUGAAUAAAAAUUGUAUAAACUUUUAGGAUACUUAAAAAAUACAGAAAUUACAAAUUAUUUAACAAAAAAAACAAUUUGUGUUUAUCUUUUAAAACAAAAAAGUUAUGUCUUUCUUUCGAAAGGGAAAAUACAUCCACAAAUCCGAAUUUAAUACACAAAAUUUCGACCUUUUUUAACUCAAAAGUAGCACAUGAAGGUAUAUUUUUUAUUACAACUUUAAUUUAAUUAGGUAAAAAAUAGUCUAUAUGGAAAUUUUUAUCAAAAUGUAAAUAUGGGAUCAAAACUGUAUCGUAUGCCCUUAACUGUUAUGGGUGUAUGACCCUUGCUAAAGUGGGGUGUCUAUUGGAGUGUUUAGUUCUACAGCUAUGUCUGGUUGGAAUCAUGACAUUAUAUCCAAUGGGUGUGUGUGUCUGAUAAUAUUCCGUCCUUUUUUUCUAGAAAAAUUAAUAGAAUAUGUGACUUGGUUAAUGCCAUGAUAUCACAUAUGAAUUUGACAGUUUGAUAACAAAACGGCUGAUCUCAUGCAAUUUCAGUGAUUUUUAUGCCCCACCUAUGAUAGUAGAGGGGCAUUAUGUUUUCUGGUCUGUGCCUCCGUUCGUCCGUCUGUGCGUCCGUUCAUCCGUCUGUGCGUCUGUUUCGCAUCAGGUUAAAGUAUUUGGUCAAGGUAGUUUUUGAAGAAGUUGAAGUCUAAUCAACUUGAAACUUAGUACACAUGUUCCCUAUGAUAUGAUCUUUCUAAUUUUAAUUCCAAAUUAAAGUUUUGACCCCAAUUUCACGGUUCACUGAACACAGAAAAUGAUAUUGGAGUGGGGCAUCCGUGUACUUGGGACACAUUCUUGUUAAAAGUAAAAUUGAACCACACUUUCAGUAUAUUUAAAACAAAUUAAUUAUCAACAGGUGAAGACAAAUUGACUUUGAAUUAGAUAAACAAAUAUUUCCUUAUUUUCUAUAUAAUUAGGAUUUUAUUUAUAAUUUCAGAGCAUUAAAGCACAAGUACUAUCCAUUUAACGAGGAGUUUUGAGUAACUUUUGACACAGCUGUUAUGCCAUUUAACGAGGAAUUUUGAGUAACUUUUGACACAGCUGUUGAAACCAAAGAUUGCCUUAUAUUUACAGAGCUUCCUACAGACAUUUCUUUAUAUGCUUAAUGCUUUGUAUAUUAUUCUCUACAAGCCGAUAGGAAAUAUGUUUUUAUACA